rnacentral:rRNA from 1 species
AUGAACGCUGGCGGCGUGCCUCAUACAUGCCAGUCGAGCGAACGGACGAGAAGCUUGCUUCUCUGAUGUUAGCGGCGGACGGGUGAGUAACACGUGGAUAACCUACCUAUAAGACUGGGAUAACUUCGGGAAACCGGAGCUAAUACCGGAUAAUAUUUUGAACCGCCUGGUUCAAAAGUGAAAGACGGUCUUGCUGUCACUUAUAGAUGGAUCCGCGGUGCAUUAGCUAGUUGGUAAGGUAACGGCUUACCAAGGCAACGAUGCAUAGCCGACCUGAGAGGGUGAUCGGCCACACUGGAACUGAGACACGGUCCAGACUCCUACGGGAGGCAGCAGUAGGGAAUCUUCCGCAAUGGGCGAAAGCCUGACGGAGCAACGCCGCGUGAGUGAUGAAGGUCUUCGGAUCGUAAAACUCUGUUAUUAGGGAAGAACAUAUGUGUAAGUAACUGUGCACAUCUUGACGGUACCUAAUCAGAAAGCCACGGCUAACUACGUG